UACGUAGGGUGCGAGCGUUGUCCGGAGUUACUGGCGUAAAGCGCGCGCAGGCGGUCACGCAGGUCAUCUGUGAAAGCACUCGGCUCAACCGGGAUGUUGCGGGUGAAACCGCGUGACUUGAGGGUGGGAGAGGUCGGUGGAAUUCCCGGUGUAGUGGUGAAAUGCGUAGAGAUCGGGAGGAACACCCGUAGCGAAGGCGGCCGACCUGGACCACACCUGACGCUGAGGCGCGAAGGCCAGGGGAGCGAACGGG
rnacentral:rRNA from 1 species